rnacentral:rRNA from 1 species
AGCGAACGCUGGCGGCAGGCUUAACACAUGCAAGUCGAGCGGGCACCUUUCGGGGUGUCAGCGGCGGGCGGGUGAGUAACGCGUGGGAACGUGCCCUCUGGUUCGGAAUAACUCAGGGAAACUUGAGCUAAUACCGGAUACGCCCUUUUGGGGAAAGGCUUGCUGCCGGAGGAUCGGCCCGCGUCUGAUUAGCUAGUUGGUGAGGUAACGGCUCACCAAGGCGACGAUCAGUAGCUGGUCUGAGAGGAUGAUCAGCCACACUGGGACUGAGACACGGCCCAGACUCCUACGGGAGGCAGCAGUGGGGAAUAUUGGACAAUGGGCGCAAGCCUGAUCCAGCCAUGCCGCGUGAGUGAUGAAGGCCUUAGGGUUGUAAAGCUCUUUUAUCCGGGACGAUAAUGACGGUACCGGAGGAAUAAGCCCCGGCUAACUUCGUG